rnacentral:ncRNA from 2 species
CGGCAAUAGGGAGAUGGCAUUCUCCUCCAACAGGAAACCGCCGGAAACGGCUGAUGAUGCCUGCUGGGUC